GGGCCGCUAGCUCAUUUGGUAGAGCGCCGCCAUGGCAUGGCGGAGGUGAAGGGUUCGAGCCCCUUGCGGUCCA
rnacentral:tRNA from 1 species